CGGAGUCGUCCAUUGCAUUCUGCUACAUUCAGAGUCGCAGAGGAUUGAACCCCGGCUACUGCUUCGGACCUUGACGCGCCAAAGACUUGCGUCAAAAACAGCCUUCUCUCCGCUUUGCAUUUGCUUUUGCCCAAGCAUAAAUUCUUUCCUCUCUCUCUUUCAAAACUCUUCCAAGGCAAAGGACACAACAAUUAUCGGUGUUUUCAGAUAGAUAAACCCUAUGGACCCGCUCCGAUCCAAUCUCUCUCGAGUUCGGAUUCCCGAACCCACCAAUCGCAUCUACAAGCAUGAAUGCUGCAUCUCAUUUGACACUCCGAGAUCUGAAGGUGGGUUGUUUGUUGACAUGAACACUUUUCUUGCAUUUGGGAAGGAUUAUGUGGGUUGGAACUAUGAGAAGACUGGAAACUCAGUUUAUUUGCACAUAAAUCAAACAAAGAAGUUGGUUCCUGAAGAUAGACCUUCAAAAAAACCGACUUUGUUGGCUAUAGGUGUUGAUGGAGGAUUUGACAACAAUGAACCUGAAUAUGAAGAGACUCACAAUAUAGUGAUAUUGCCUGAUUAUGUUACUUUUUCUUUUCCUUCUGUAGAGUUGCCAGAGAAGGUAAGGCUGGCAGUUGAUGCCAUAUUGAUGGCUGAAGGUGAAGAACGGAAGGAACAGCUGGCAGCUUGGACAGCUGAUAAGAAGCAAAUUAGUGCGUAUGCAAUGAAUCUACAACAGAUUGACAAUGGUGUUACUGUUCCUCCAUCUGGGUGGAAAUGUGCAAAGUGUGAGAAAAAAGAGAAUUUGUGGUUGAAUCUUACCGAUGGAAUGAUCCUUUGUGGACGGAAGAAUUGGGAUGGAAGUGGUGGCAAUAACCAUGCCAUUGAGCACUACAAGGAGACAAGUUAUCCUCUAGCCGUAAAACUUGGGACAAUUACUGCUGAUCUGGAAGCAGCAGAUGUUUUCUCUUAUCCAGAGGAUGAUAGUGUUUUGGAUCCACUUUUAGCACAGCAUCUGGCAUUUUUUGGCAUUGAUUUUUCAUCACUACAGAAGACUGAAAUGACAACUGCUGAAAGGGAGCUUGACCAGAAUAUCAACUUUGAUUGGAACCGAAUACAAGAAAGUGGAGAGGAACUGGAGCCAAUUUUUGGACCAGGUUAUACAGGACUUGUGAAUCUUGGAAACAGGUAAUAUUGGUCUUUGUAGAGUGUGAACAAUGCAUCUAUUUUAUGUUCUCUUGUUUCCUAAUUUUGUUUUCUUACAGUUGCUACAUGGCAGCUGCAAUGCAAGUUGUGUUCUCAACACGUUCUUUCUAUUCACGAUAUUAUAUGAACCUGAGCUUGAAAGUGGCAUUUGAGAUGGCUCCUGCCGAUCCAACUGUAGACUUAAAUAUGCAGUUAACCAAACUGGCACAUGGUAUGCUAUCUGGUAAAUAAUCGGUUCCGGCCCUGGAGAAAGAUGAUAAUGCAAAUGCUGCAACCUCAACAAACUCUAAACAGGAAAGGAAUACCUCCUCGAAUGUUCAAGGCAGUUAUUGCUGCCAGUCAUCCUGAGUUUUUCUCUAUGAGGCAACAGGUACAUUCACUAUAAUACUAAAACUUUUUUUCCAGCAUAAACUCAUAAUUUGGUUGCUUGUUAUAUAUGUGAAUCACUUUUAAAAGUCGGAUAAAAAUAAAUGAAAUGCCUAAAGGAUUAAGCUAUAUAGAAGAUAUCCAACUUGAAAUUUUCUUUCUUUUCUUCCCUGCUCCCCACCAAAUAUUUAUGUUUCCUUUUCCAUUAAAUAAAAAUGAGAGGAAUAAAAGACAUAAUAUAAUUUAUUAAUCUGAUGGUUUUAUUUGACACUAUAUUUAUAUCAAUGCAUGCGAUGGAUUGGAAAAAUGAAAAAAAAAUGGGCACAUUUAAAUUUCCUGAUAUUUAAUUUUUGUAGUUCCUAGAAAAAGGUGUUAAACCUCCAGGAAGGAACUAUGCCAUUUGAUGCUGUGGCCUAAAGAUACUGCUUAUGGUAGUUAAGAAAGAGAGGGUGAUUUCCAUUUUAAUGGAAUUUAGGUUUAAGUAAUUAAAUGUUUGGGAAUGUGUAGAUGGUACUGGCACAGUUAUGGCAAAGUUCUGAAGGCAUUAGUUUGGUAGGGAUAUGUAACAUGCAAUCAUUAUUAUCUCAUGGAACCGCUUUGGCAAAUAUUUGACAUCAACUUUUAUAUAGGAUGCAUUGGAAUUCUUCCUACAUUUUCUUGAUCAAGUUGAACGUGUGAAUGGUGGGAAACCUACAAUGGACCCCUCAAGGAGUUUUAAGUUUGGUAUUGAGGAACGUAUCUUGUGUCCAUCUGGAAAGGUUACUUAUAAUAGGAGGCUGGACUAUAUUCUUUCUUUGAAUAUUUCAUUACAUGAAGCUAACAAUAAAGGUAUAUUUAUUAAUUCUCUUUUCUUUUCUGGAACAUAUUUCUUUAAUUUUAUGUGGUGAUUUAAGUAUUUGGGAAUUUAGAGGAACAUGAAGCGUUCCAAAAAUUGAAAGCAAGAGAGGUUUCAGAAGGGAAAGUUAUGUAAGUGCAAUUGUUUUGUUUUGUCCUAUAUUAGUCAUCAGAGUUUUUGCUUAGCAUAUUUACUUCAAACAGAUCCAGUGAGGAAAUUGUAUGCCCAAGGGUACCCCUAGAGGCAUGCCUUGCCAGCUUUUCAGCUCUGGAGCAGAUACAGGAAUUUUAUAGCACUGCCUUGAAGGCUAAGACAACUGCAAAAAAGACUGCUGGCCUAACUUCAUUCCCUGAUUAUUUGGUGUUGCAUAUGCGGAAAUUUUUGAUGGAGGAGGGCUGGGUGCCGAAAAAGCUUGAUGUGUAUAUAGAUGUUCCUGAUAUCAUAGAUAUCAAUCACAUGCGAAGCAGAGGUCUUCAACCAGGGGAGGAAUUGUUGCCAGAUGGUGUUCCUGAGGGUGGGGUCAAAUCAAAUAAGCUUCUGGCUAAUGAGGAUAUUGUUUCCCAGCUCGUCUCAAUGGGUUUCAACCAUCUUCAUUGUGAGAAAGCUGCUAUAAAUACCUUGAACAAUGGAGUAGAAGAGGCAAUGAAUUGGUUACUUUCUCACAUGGAUGAUCCAGACAUAGAUGUUCCUAUUUGUCAAGAGGCACAACAUACUGAAGUUGUUGACCAAUCAAAAAUUGACACCUUGAUCUCAUUUGGCUUUCAAGAAGAAAUAGCUCGAAAAGCACUGAAGGCAUCGGCUGGGGACAUUGAGAAAGCAACAGAUUGGAUAUUCAACGAUGCUGAUGCUUCUGUUUCAUCUGAUAUGGACGCCACCACAUCAAGCAUCACACCAACCCUUGAUGAUACUGGACUACCUGAUGGAGGAGGGAGGUACAGGCUCUUUGGAAUAGUGAGCCAUAUUGGAACUUCUACGCAGUGCGGCCAUUAUGUUGUUCACGUCUUGAAGGAUGGAAGAUGGGUUAUUUUCAAAGACAACAAGGUUGGAGCUUCUGUAAACCCUCCCAAGGAUAUGGGGUAUUCGUACUUUUUUGAGAGGUUUGAUAGCUAGAAUUUGCAUGCUAUCUUCAUUGUUAGAUAGGAAAAGAGUGAUUGAGUUUCUUCUUAGCAGUCAGUUAGUGUUGUGACCUCUGUGGUUCUUAAAUAGCAAUCCUCAACCCUUUGACUAGUCAGUCUGCAACAUCACAUAUCAAAAUUGCCAUUUUAUGUUCCAUUCGUCAAAAAAAAAAAAAAAAUGACAUAGAUUGAAUGUUGUAUUUUCUUUCUAAAUUUGGCUGUAGAACAUUGCCUUGCUCAUGGCGAG
rnacentral:misc_RNA from 1 species